UACAGAGGGUGCGAGCGUUGUUCGGAAUUAUUGGGCGUAAAGGGCGCGUAGGCGGUGCGGUAAGUCACCUGUGAAAUCUCCUGGCUCAACUGGGAGCUUGCAGGCGAAACUGCCGUGCUGGAGUGUGGGAGAGGUGCGUGGAAUUCCUGGUGUAGCGGUGAAAUGCGUAGAUAUCAGGAGGAACACCUGUGGCGAAAGCGGCGCACUGGACCACAACUGACGCUGAGGCGCGAAAGCGCGGGGAGCAAACAGG
rnacentral:rRNA from 1 species